GCUUUUGCACGAGGUCUGCAGAGCUGAACUGUUGGGUGCAGCCGUUUUGGGAGGAAGAACUCUGGGCUGAGGCCUCGGCCGCAGCACCCUGUGUGCAAGUGAAACUAGAUGAAGCCCAAAGGAAAAACAAAAGGUUGUGCUACUGAGACUCCAGAUCCACGUUUUCUUACCAGGCAACUCCAGAUGGGAGCACCAGUGGACACAGAGAGGGUGAGCAAUGCACCAAGGAUCACACACUGGAUGACAAAGAAAAAUGGACUCAGCACUCAGGAAUACUUUGUAAACCCAUAAACUCAAAAGUCUACUUGAAGGAGACCUUGGAGUUCUCUACUGCUGGCACUACCAAGGGGAGAAGAAUGGACCAUUCUAUCAGCAA